GAUGAACGCUGGCGGCGUGCUUAACACAUGCAAGUCGAACGAUGAAGCCCAGCUUGCUGGGUGGAUUAGUGGCGAACGGGUGAGUAACACGUGAGUAACCUGCCCUUAACUCUGGGAUAAGCCUGGGAAACUGGGUCUAAUACCGGAUAGGAGCGUCCACCGCAUGGUGGGUGUUGGAAAGAUUUAUCGGUUUUGGAUGGACUCGCGGCCUAUCAGCUUGUUGGUGAGGUAAUGGCUCACCAAGGCGACGACGGGUAGCCGGCCUGAGAGGAUGACCGGCCACACUGGGACUGAGACACGGCCCAGACUCCUACGGGAGGCAGCAGUGGGGAAUAUUGCACAAUGGGCGAAAGCCUGAUGCAGCGACGCCGCGUGAGGGAUGACGGCCUUCGGGUUGUAAACCUCUUUCAGUAGGGAAGGAGCGAAAGUGACGGUACCUGCAGAAGAAGCACCGGCUAACUACGUG
rnacentral:rRNA from 1 species